GAUGAACGCUGGCGGCAUGCCUAACACAUGCAAGUCGAUCGGUAAGGCUCUUCGGAGUACACGAGAGGCGGACGGCUGAGUAACGCGUAGGAACACACCCUGCAGUGAGGGAUAAGACACCGAAAGGUGUUCUAAUACCGCAUACGGUCUUCGGAUUAAAGCAUUUAUGCGCUGAAGGAGUGGCCUGCGUCAUAUUAGAUAGUUGGUGAGGUAAUGGCUCACCAAGUCGAUGAUGUGUAGCUGGUCUGAGAGGAUGAUCAGCCAGACUGGAACUGAGACACGGUCCAGACUCCUACGGGAGGCAGCAGUGAGGAAUAUUUCACAAUGAGCGAAAGCUUGAUGGAGCAAUGCCGCGUGCAGGAUGAAGGCCCUCGGGUUGUAAACUGCUUUUAUAAGAGAAGAUUAUGACGGUAACUUAUGAAUAAGAGACGGCUAACUACGUG
rnacentral:rRNA from 1 species